GACGUAGGAUGCAAGCGUUGUCCGGAUUUAUUGGGCGUAAAGAGUUCGUAGGUGGUUUGUUAAGUCUGAUGUUAAAGACCGGGGCUCAACUUCGGGACUGCAUUGGAUACUGGCAGACUUGAGUGUGGUAGAGGCAAUCGGAAUUCCAGGUGUAGCGGUGAAAUGCGUAGAUAUCUGGAAGAACACCGGUGGCGCAGGCGGCUACCUGGACAGAUACUGACACUGAGGCGCGAGAGCGUGGGGAGCAAACAGG
rnacentral:rRNA from 1 species